rnacentral:tRNA from 1 species
GCCCACUUAGCUCAGAGGUUAGAGCAUCGCAUUUGUAAUGCGAGGGUCAUCGGUUUAGAUCCGAUAGUCGGCU